GCCGGGUGUGGUGGUGCACACCUGUAGUCCCAGCUACUGGGAGGCUGAGGCAGGAGAAUCACUUGAACCUGGGAGGCGGAGGUUGCAGUGAGCUGAGAUCGCACCACUGCACUACUUCAGCCUGGGUGACAGAGCGAGACUCCGUCUCAG
rfam:Pan troglodytes isolate Yerkes chimp pedigree #C0471 (Clint) chromosome 5, whole genome shotgun sequence.